rnacentral:lncRNA from 1 species
AAAACUAAGAUGGCCCUUUCUCCUCCACUGCCAUCCUAACUGGAGAGUUUUGGGACAGGAACUGCACUGCAGGAGGGACCGAUCCAUGGCCCUGCUACAGCUACGCCAGGAGAGCACCAACAGCUGGCAAGCGCCCGUUCCGUCUGGAGUCUUGCAACUGAAGCAAAGCCAAAUACAUUUAGGCUGAUGACUUGAUUCCCUCAUCAGAAAGAUAUAGGCCCAUAAAUAGUUUAAUUAAUUGGCCCAGGACUGAAGUUAAGAUGACUGAUCUUUUGAGUUUCUUCUUUCUCACUGGUUGGCCCCUGUUCGGUGGUCCAGAACCUCAGCCACCCUCCAUUUACUCCCAGAAGUAACGAGUCAUAAUGCCACAGCUGCCACAGCUGGGUGUCCAAAUCACAUCCAGGCGGGAUUUCACAACAUGCAGACCACUUGAAUGCAUCGAAUGCUGUCGAGGUGGUUUGAAGCAAGAAAGGGAAGGGAUGGCUAAAGGCGGAGAUCAAAUAACUUUGGCAGGAACCUUACAAAGGAGCCUUCAUAUGGAGGCACUUUUCAAGGGAACCAGACUGAGAGCUGGAAGAAAUGUCCAGGUUACAAUCAGGAAGGACAAAAGUCCAGAUAAGAUAAAAAGAUACACAGUUCACUUUUUUUUUGGAGGACCUUCUUCUUCCCCAGGUGACAGAGACUGUCAUUGGAAGCUUCACAGGAAAUUUUCUAACAAUCUGGGAGAAAGGUUCCUAUUUUCUGGAAGUUUUCCAGCAUGUUACCAGCUAGGGUACGGUGGUGUUACUAAGAUCAGCAGAAGAUACUGCUUUUAA